rnacentral:rRNA from 1 species
GAUGAACGCUGGCGGCGUGCCUAAUACAUGCAAGUCGAGCGACCAGACGAGGAGCUUGCUCUUCUGACGUUAGCGGCGGACGGGUGAGUAACACAUGGAUAACCUACCUAUAAGACUGGGAUAAUUUCGGGAAAACGGAUCUACUACCGGCUCAUAUAUUGAACCGCAUAGUUCAAUAGUGAAAGGCGGCUUUGCUGAUAGUUAUAGACGGAUCCGCGCCGCAUUAGCUAGUUGGUAAGGUAACGGCUUACCAAGGCAACGAUGCGUAGCCGACCUGAGAGGGUGAUCGGCCACACUGGAACUGAGACACGGUCCAGACUCCUACGGGAGGCAGCAGUAGGGAAUCUUCCGCAAUGGGCGAAAGCUUGACGGAGCAACGCCGCGUGAGUGAUGAAGGUCUUCGGAUCGUAAAACUCUGUUAUUAGGGAAGAACAAAUGUGUAAGUAACUAUGCACGUCUUGACGGUACCUAAUCAGAAAGCCACGGCUAACUACGUG